AUCCAGCCGACGAGUCCCGAACGUGAAGAAACGCGCGUCCUGGAU
rnacentral:hammerhead_ribozyme from 1 species